GCCUUCUUAAUUUGCUCCUAGAACGUACGUGGUCUUGGCGAUAACGAUAAAUGCUCCGAUGUUCUCUCCGAACUAGUGAUGACUAAGCCGCACAUAACCCUCUUGCAAGAAUCAAAACUCGACACUCUCCCCGACUCUAAACUAAAAUCCUUUUUGCCACGAACACUUGAUCAAGCUUUCUCGCUACCAGCUGUCGAGUCCGCUGGUGGCACUAUCUCUGCCAUCAACUCUGCCUUUUUUCAAGUCGUCUCUUACUCACAUCUAACCUUCUCCUCUACCCUAAUCCUACAAACAACUGCGUGCACCCAACACAUUGCCAUCACAAACAUCUACGCUCCAUCAUCACGAUCACUGAAGCAAGCCUUUUUAAACGAGCUCUCAUCCAUCUCACAACCCGAUGACAUCCCCUGGAUUAUCGCUCGUGACUUCAACUUCAUCCGCUUCCCCUGUGAUAAAAACUCUGCGUUCCAUCACUCCGAAGCCAAUGCUUUUAACCAAACCUUAGAUGAUCUAGCUCUCAUCGAACUGCCCCUACUUGAUUGCAGGUUCACCUGGUCGAACAAUCGAGCCACCCCCACCCUAGAACGGCUAGAUCGUGUUUUCUUUAACCUUGCAUGGGCGGACGCCUUCCCUAACACCUCACAAUCCUCUCGCACACGCUUCAUGUCCGAUCACGUCCCACUCCUCAUCCACAUCACCACCACCAUCCCACGAUCUAAUUUUUUCAAAUUUGAGCCUGGCUGGGCCAACUUCCGGCCAUGUAGCGACAUCAUCAGCCAAAUUUGGGCCUCACAGCCCUCCUCGCCAUCCAACGCAGCCGCUUCCCUUGUCUUCGCGCUCAAAAAAAUCCCGUACCCGUCUCAAAAAGUGGGCACGUUUGCGCAUUCCUGCCCCCCUCCGCGAAGCUCGCUGCCAUGUUGCAAUCACUGCCUUAGACCUCAUGGAGGAAAACAGACCUCUAUCUACACCAGAAUCUCUCGCGCGCAAAAUCAUUGUCUCCGUUCUCAAGUGCACCAUUCAGGAGAAAAUGUCGUACUGGCGUUGGCGUGCUAA
rnacentral:rRNA from 1 species